rnacentral:rRNA from 1 species
AGAUUAAGUUAUUAAGGGCGCACGGUGGAUGCCUUGGCACUAGAAGCCGAUGAAGGACGUUACUAACGACGAUAUGCUUUGGGGAGCUGUAAGUAAGCUUUGAUCCAGAGAUUUCCGAAUGGGGAAACCCAGCAUGAGUUAUGUCAUGUUAUCGAUAUGUGAAUACAUAGCAUAUCAGAAGGCACACCCGGAGAACUGAAACAUCUUAGUACCCGGAGGAAGAGAAAGAAAAUUCGAUUCCCUUAGUAGCGGCGAGCGAAACGGGAAGAGCCCAAACCAACAAGCUUGCUUGUUGGGGUUGUAGGACACUCUAUACGGAGUUACAAAGGACGACAUUAGACGAAUCAUCUGGAAAGAUGAAUCAAAGAAGGUAAUAAUCCUGUAGUCGAAAAUGUUGUCUCUCUUGAGUGGAUCCUGAGUACGACGGAGCACGUGAAAUUCCGUCGGAAUCUGGGAGGACCAUCUCCUAAGGCUAAAUACUCUCUAGUGACCGAUAGUGAACCAGUACCGUGAGGGAAAGGUGAAAAGCACCCCGGAAGGGGAGUGAAAUAGAACCUGAAACCGUGUGCUUACAAGUAGUCAGAGCCCGUUAAUGGGUGAUGGCGUGCCUUUUGUAGAAUGAACCGGCGAGUUACGAUUUGAUGCAAGGUUAAGCAGUAAAUGUGGAGCCGUAGCGAAAGCGAGUCUGAAUAGGGCGUUUAGUAUUUGGUCGUAGACCCGAAACCAGGUGAUCUACCCUUGGUCAGGUUGAAGUUCAGGUAACACUGAAUGGAGGACCGAACCGACUUACGUUGAAAAGUGAGCGGAUGAACUGAGGGUAGCGGAGAAAUUCCAAUCGAACCUGGAGAUAGCUGGUUCUCUCCGAAAUAGCUUUAGGGCUAGCCUCAAGUGAUGAUUAUUGGAGGUAGAGCACUGUUUGGACGAGGGGCCCCUCUCGGGUUACCGAAUUCAGACAAACUCCGAAUGCCAAUUAAUUUAACUUGGGAGUCAGAACAUGGGUGAUAAGGUCCGUGUUCGAAAGGGAAACAGCCCAGACCACCAGCUAAGGUCCCAAAAUAUAUGUUAAGUGGAAAAGGAUGUGGCGUUGCCCAGACAACUAGGAUGUUGGCUUAGAAGCAGCCAUCAUUUAAAGAGUGCGUAAUAGCUCACUAGUCGAGUGACACUGCGCCGAAAAUGUACCGGGGCUAAACAUAUUACCGAAGCUGUGGAUUGUCCUUUGGACAAUGGUAGGAGAGCGUUCUAAGGGCGUUGAAGCAUGAUCGUAAGGACAUGUGGAGCGCUUAGAAGUGAGAAUGCCGGUGUGAGUAGCGAAAGACGGGUGAGAAUCCCGUCCACCGAUUGACUAAGGUUUCCAGAGGAAGGCUCGUCCGCUCUGGGUUAGUCGGGUCCUAAGCUGAGGCCGACAGGCGUAGGCGAUGGAUAACAGGUUGAUAUUCCUGUACCACCUAUAAUCGUUUUAAUCGAUGGGGGGACGCAGUAGGAUAGGCGAAGCGUGCGAUUGGAUUGCACGUCUAAGCAGUAAGGCUGAGUAUUAGGCAAAUCCGGUACUCAUUAAGGCUGAGCUGUGAUGGGGAGAAGACAUUGUGUCUUCGAGUCGUUGAUUUCACACUGCCGAGAAAAGCCUCUAGAUAGAAAAUAGGUGCCCGUACCGCAAACCGACACAGGUAGUCAAGAUGAGAAUUCUAAGGUGAGCGAGCGAACUCUCGUUAAGGAACUCGGCAAAAUGACCCCGUAACUUCGGGAGAAGGGGUGCUCUUUAGGGUUAACGCCCAGAAGAGCCGCAGUGAAUAGGCCCAAGCGACUGUUUAUCAAAAACACAGGUCUCUGCUAAACCGUAAGGUGAUGUAUAGGGGCUGACGCCUGCCCGGUGCUGGAAGGUUAAGAGGAGUGGUUAGCUUCUGCGAAGCUACGAAUCGAAGCCCCAGUAAACGGCGGCCGUAACUAUAACGGUCCUAAGGUAGCGAAAUUCCUUGUCGGGUAAGUUCCGACCCGCACGAAAGGCGUAACGAUUUGGGCACUGUCUCAACGAGAGACUCGGUGAAAUCAUAGUACCUGUGAAGAUGCAGGUUACCCGCGACAGGACGGAAAGACCCCGUGGAGCUUUACUGUAGCCUGAUAUUGAAAUUCGGCACAGCUUGUACAGGAUAGGUAGGAGCCUUUGAAACGUGAGCGCUAGCUUACGUGGAGGCGCUGGUGGGAUACUACCCUAGCUGUGUUGGCUUUCUAACCCGCACCACUUAUCGUGGUGGGAGACAGUGUCAGGCGGGCAGUUUGACUGGGGCGGUCGCCUCCUAAAAGGUAACGGAGGCGCUCAAAGGUUCCCUCAGAAUGGUUGGAAAUCAUUCAUAGAGUGUAAAGGCAUAAGGGAGCUUGACUGCGAGACCUACAAGUCGAGCAGGGUCGAAAGACGGACUUAGUGAUCCGGUGGUUCCGCAUGGAAGGGCCAUCGCUCAACGGAUAAAAGCUACCCCGGGGAUAACAGGCUUAUCUCCCCCAAGAGUUCACAUCGACGGGGAGGUUUGGCACCUCGAUGUCGGCUCAUCGCAUCCUGGGGCUGUAGUCGGUCCCAAGGGUUGGGCUGUUCGCCCAUUAAAGCGGUACGCGAGCUGGGUUCAGAACGUCGUGAGACAGUUCGGUCCCUAUCCGUCGUGGGCGUAGGAAAUUUGAGAGGAGCUGUCCUUAGUACGAGAGGACCGGGAUGGACAUACCUCUGGUGUACCAGUUGUCGUGCCAACGGCAUAGCUGGGUAGCUAUGUGUGGACGGGAUAAGUGCUGAAAGCAUCUAAGCAUGAAGCCCCCCUCAAGAUGAGAUUUCCCAACCUCGGUUAUAAGAUCCCUCAAAGAUGAUGAGGUUAAUAGGUUCGAGGUGGAAGCAUGGUGACAUGUGGAGCUGACGAAUACUAAUCGAUCGAAGACUUAAUCAAAUU